rnacentral:misc_RNA from 1 species
GUUGCUGCACUCCGAAGUUCCGGUGUGUUGUCACUUUCCAUAAUGGCUCUCCUGCUUCCCUCAUUUCUUUUCUUCCUUACACGCCGACGCUCUGCUGCACGAGAUCGCGUGCGCUUGUCUCUCCUACUUUCCGUAAAAUAGUGGCCAUCACUCUUUGAUCAUCGUACACGCUCGCGCAGCGAGCGUCCCCUCACCCCACCCCACCCACACACACACACACACACACGCACACUGACUACCGCCAUAACAGCAACGUCCCCCCUUACUCCACGUGUUGCUGUAACAGCCGCCGCGGAGAGCACGCCUACCCUCACUCGCGCACAUACUCAUAGAUGCUGAUAAUACCGUGGCCGUUUUCCAUCGCUCAAGCUCUGUAGCACACAUCUUCUCUCUGUGUCCUCGCAUUCUUUUCGCUGUGUCUGUGGCAGCGGUCCACAAAACGCAGGACCACUGCUCGGCCUGCCCACGUUGUCGUGGCUGCCCCCCCCCCGUUGUACGUAGAUUGACCCUAACCCCUCCCCCUUUUCUGCUUAGCUUUCCUAUUCUUUGUGGAUCCCCCCUCAGACUCUAGAAGUGGCAUAGACCUUUACACCGCCGCCGCCCUCAGCGCCUCGCCAAGCCACUCCUCCUCCUUUCUUGCUUGCUUCCCUCGAUCUCUCUCUCUUGGCGUGUAGCUCUGCCGCGGAUUGGCGAUUCAGCCUAUCACUCUGGUGCACACCAGACUCCAGUUGUGAGGUGCGCAGGAGGAGGCCGGUAUACAGAUACCGCCCACCGAGGUGGGAAACGCAGACGCGCACACCCGAAGCACGCUUGCUAUCGGUGCAUGUACUCGCACAUGCGCGCGCAGAGCAACUUGACAUCUCUUUCUUCGCUCCUCCCACCCCCACACCCCACCCUCCUCUCAUUGUCCACAACGCCGCCCCUGUGAGGAGAGUCUGACGGAGUGAGCAAGAGGUUACUCCACAAACACAGAUACUCUCUCCGCAGGUGCCGCCCCCCCCCUCUCUCUCCCUCUUCCCAGUUGCCGUUAUCGGUGAAUGAAGGGGAUGCACGACUCGUUGGAUCACGUUCGCGUCUGCUGUCGCGUGCGACCCCUCAACGCGAGCGAAAAGCGCAUCCAGGGCGACUUGUGCAUAUCUUUUUCUGACCAACGCCCCGAUGCGGUCGACUGCUAUGUCGCUCCUACCGCCGGUAGUGGCCCUGUGAACGGUGGCUGCGCAGCCGGUGGUGCGGUGGCGGCGGGCAGAGGCGACGGGGUCGGCGACGCCGGUGCUUCGCCAGGGCGGCACUCCUUUACCUUCUCGCACGUCUUUCGGCCAACUGCGAGGCAGGCCGAUGUCUACGAGCACGUUGCCCGCCCCAUCGUGGUGGAUGUCCUGUCUGGCUACAACGGCACCAUCUUCAUGUAUGGGCAGACUGGGAGCGGCAAGACGCACACGAUGUUCGGAGAAGUGAAUGGUGGUGCAUGGGCCACAAGCUGCGACUCAGGCAGGCCCUCUGCAGGCGUCGCCUUCAACGCAGACACCAACGAGGAGGACGUCAACGAGAAGCCGAAGGAGGAAGACAGUCCUGCGCACACGCGCCUCACCGAAGAGGAGCACGGAGAGGUGGAGCCUCACGCUUGCGAGCGUCAGAGAGCACAAGCGGAAGGCGAAGACGAGGAACGACACGAAGAGCAGAAGCAGCAGCAAGCAUCUCAGCAAGCCUUGCAGGCGCCCGGCACGUCUCCCAGGGCAACGCGGCCGAAACUCAGCACCUACCAUACCAAGACGGGCCACCCGGCGACCUCAGCGAUAGCGACGACAAGGAGCGCCGCAGCCGUGCCACCACCGUCCACGACGACGACAUCUUUCUGCCGCACCCGCGCCACCGUCACUCCGCUUGGCGAGCUGCAGCAAAUCAACACGCUUCAAAACGCUACCGGCAGUGACGCUGCGGAGUACUGCUAUGCAGCGGUGAACAAGUCGACAAAAAUGUGUGCCGCCGCCACCGCGUCGACCUCUUACGCUCCACCGUCGUCGUCAGCGGCCCCAGCAUCGCCGUCCUCUGCGUUCUCCCGCAGUGGACCGCCUCGGUGCACGGUGAGGAGUGCGGCGGGUAUGCGAUCCGCCUUUACGGGCGACGCCGUCAGCGGCGUCAUACCGCGAGCCGUGCACGACAUCUUCGACGCCAUCGCCCACGCAGACCCGUCCAAGGAGUUCGACGUGCAGAUGUUCUUUGUGGAGGUGUACAUGGAGCAGAUUCGCGACCUCCUUGUCCCGAACCCGUCCGCCGCGAUGCCAUCAUCGUCGGCUGGUAUCGCUCCAACGCUGCCGAUAGGGCCACGCAAGCUGCAGCUGCGCGAGGAUGUUAGCACCAACUCGUUCUACGUCGAUGGAUGUUGCAACCCGCAUGUGUCGUCUGCCAGGGAUGUGCUGCAUCUGGUGAAGAACGGUCUCAAGCAGCGGGCCACCUCAGCCACGGCGAUGAACGAGACGAGCAGCCGCAGCCAUUGCCUGCUGAACCUGACGGUGAAGAGCGUCGACCGCGCGCAGGGGGUGUCGACGGUAGGGAAGCUUUACUUGGUGGACCUCGCUGGUAGCGAGAAGGUUGGGAAAACCAACGCGACAGGGCUGCGUCUAGAGGAGGCAAAGCUGAUUAACAAGUCCCUCUCCACUCUUGGCAUGGUUAUCAUGUCCCUGACAGAUCACAGCGCCACGCACACGCCGUAUCGAGAUAGUGUGCUGACAAAAAUCUUGAAAGACUCGCUCGGCGGCAACUCGCACACGGCCCUUGUGAUCUGCUGCAGCCCGUCCCCGUGCCAUGCGCAGGAGACGCUGUCGACGCUGCGCUUCGGUGCUCGCGCGAAGGCUAUCGAGAACAAGGCCGUCGUGAACCGCGACCUCACCGCGGCGCAGCUGCGGCGCAUGUUGGAGACGGCCAAGGAGGAGAUCGAGCGGCUGCACGUGAAGGUGCAGCAGCUGAGCAUGACGAGUGGAGCAGUGGACCCCUGUAAAGGGACGCCGGACUUCCCCGUCGUAGCAUCGCGAAAGCUGUCGAGCGCCGCCACUGCUACGGCGUCUUCAAUGGCGAGCGAGGCGGACACGUCCCGCAUCAGUGCACUGCUGGAGGAGCGUGCGACGGAGCAGGCGCGGUUGCAGAAUCUCCGCGCUGAGGUGGCGCAGCUGCAUGACAGCCUCAGCAGCGCCCAGGACAUCAUCAGUGCCUUGCAGGAGGAGCGCGACGGCUACAUCGACAAGGUGCAGAGCUUUCAGGAGGAAAUAAGCGUCUGGGAGGACGCACACUCCGCGUCCUUGAAGCGCGCGGCAACUCAGGACGCGCUGCUGCAGCAAUGCACGGUUCUCCUCCGUGCCCAGGCAAGCGAGAUCAAAGACCUCAUGCAGUGCAUGGCAGCCUACGGCCAGCCCCUUCAGCAGGCCCGACAGGCCGUCGACCAGCUCCACACCUACGUGUAUGGGGCAAACACGAGCCGCGAGCGGCAGCGAACGCUUUUUACCCCGGAAACGUGCCAAGAGAAUGCCUUCGCGGCAGCAUCGCAGGGCCUCCUGUCCCGUCCACUGGCCUCCGUGCACGGAUCGAAUGUGAGCGCCGUGGGCAACAUGACGGAGAGCAGCGGGCGGCACAUCACCGGCAGCAGCAACCUUCCAGACGGGCAAUCACCCAAUCCGCGUCUUCAGCCGGGCGUGGACACAGGCCCGCCACAGCCGAGCAGAUCGAGGUCUCUGCCGCAACACUGUGUUGCAAGCGAUUACCGUGACAACCUCAUGUCGGGGUCGAUAAACGUGUCGCCUGGGACGGCAACGGCGCAACAGUGGGUAUCGCGCGCCGCCUCGGUAGGACAGAAUGACAGCGGUGCGUCGCACGUCGGCUCUUGUGGCCUGGAUGGAAUGACACCUGCAGCACCUGCAGAGUGUAUCCGUCGCCUCGAAGAGGAACUCGCCUCGCUUCAGUCUGACCACGGCGCGCUGCUGCAGCAGCACAAAGAGGCGCUGGCGGAGCUGCAGUCGAAGCAGCGCAUUCUCGACCUCCGCCGCGGCCACCUUGCCACCGUGAAAGAUGAGCUGAAGCGGGAGUACAUGAUAAACAAAGAGCUGCGUGAGCGCUUGGAGAAGGGGCGGGACAGCCUACGAGGGCCGCUCGAGAUGGCGCGCAAUGAUGCCAACUACUGGCGCCGGCGGUACGAGGAGCUUGCGAGCCGAAAGGAGAUGCGAUGCGCCGCCGAGUGCCAGCGUGGCUCCCCCCGCUUUGCCUUUCCACCGCCGCCGCCGCCGCCGCAGCAGCAGCAGCCGCACCAGCACCAGCACCAGCAGCAACACGAGGCCGGGCGCAGCGGCACAAUGGACGCGGAUGCCUUGAAUCUCAUGGCUUUCCACGCUUCUGCCGAUUCGGCCAGUGGCGGCGCUGUGAUGGAAAUUAGGAACCGUCCCUCCAUCCCGGAUAUCUCAUCCGGCGUCCUGUCGUCGAGGGCGUCUGGCGAGAAUGUGCUGCUGAGCCUCUCCUCGGCCACAACACCACUGCGAUCGACUGUGGCACGGCUCACCACAGAGCUCGAGGACUGAUAUCGUUUACAGCUGAUGAGCGCAUUCCUUUCCCUCUCUCACCGCGUGUGCUUGUGCGACCGUGAUGCACAGCUAUCGUCUUGCGUUCCCACAGUGCCACAGAGACGGCGCUCACUCUGGCCGUAGGAAUUGUAGGCGGGGCUGCUGCCGCACAAUAUCGCGCACGCGCCAUGCUUGUGUCUGUGCGUGUGUGUGUGUGUGUGUGUGCAGAGCUCCUCUUGGGCAACAUCUGGAGAACUGCACUACCGAGAGCUCUGGCUAGUGGUGCUCAGUCUAUGGUGUAUCUUCUCAGACGCGCGUGACGCCAUUGCCGACCCUUCGCGCCUCGUCCUGUCAGUGUGUUGUCUGCGGCCACCGCUUCUUGUUCAAGGCAGGCGACCGGCGAGUCGGAGUUUGGGUGGGGUGAGCGAGUUGUUGAUUAGGUCGUUGAUACAGCGUAUUCCGUCUACGCCUGUGCUGGGCGGGCUAGUACGAUGAUUGACUUUCUCAUUGCUUUCUAUUGUUUUAGAGAAGCGUGCUUAAGGGUGCGAUGGCGUCUGGUGCGUAGACUCCGUCUCGCCUUUUUCGUUUCGCCCCCCCCGCGCACGCACACACACGCACACGCACGCACGUUUCAGUGACGCCCUCGCGCAUGUAUACACGAGUAACCCAUGCGCACAAGAACCAGUAAAAUAGGGCAGGGUAUAGGCAGCACGGCUAGAAAGGAAAUAGAGACAUGUGCUGCUUAACGGCAUUGAUGCGUGUGCGUGUGUGUGUUCCUGUGUUUCUGCCGUCUUUGCGGCACUCGUGUCCGCGAUG